UGGGGAAUCUUGCACAAUGGGGGAAACCCUGAUGCAGCGACGCCGCGUGAACGAUGAAGCCCUUCGGGGUGUAAAGUUCUUUCGACAGGAACGAUAAUGACGGUACCUGGAGAAGAAGCUGCGGCUAACUACGUGCCAGCAGCCGCGGUAAUACGUAGGCAGCGAGCGUUGUUCGGAGUUACUGGGCGUAAAGAGUGCGUAGGCGGCGAGCCAAGUUUGGUGUGAAAUCUCCCGGCUUAACCGGGAGGGUGCGCCGAAAACUGGUUGGCUGGAGUAUGGGAGAGGAAAGCGGAAUUCCUGGUGUCGCGGUGAAAUGCGUAGAUAUCAGGAGGAACACCUGCGGUGUAGACAGCUUUCUGGACCAAAACUGACGCUGAGGCACGAAAGCGUGGGUAGCAAACA
rnacentral:rRNA from 1 species